AGACGGCAGCUGCAGAGGAAGCACUGAGCCUGCGGAGCCAGAACCCUGCCCCAGCACUCCAGCAUCACAGCACAAAGGCUCCAGUGGAAGAAACCGUGAGAGGUCCUGAAUCUGCAAGCUUUCAUCUGGGAAAAAUAGUUCAACAUGGUCUUGCCAAGAUGCAGUUACUUGCCCUUUUUUGCUUUACUCCAACCUCAGAAUCAGGAUAUUUGAGUCAAAUAUUUUCCAUGCUGUCAG